AAAGUUGGUUGCCAACCGAGAUAUAAAAUCCACAGAAAAAGAAGAUACACAGUCCGCGACUCAUAGAAACGGUGGCUUUGCAGUGUAUGGAUAUAGCACAUUUUUGUACAGCCCAUUGAAACGAAAUCCCCAUAAGGACAGUAUUGUAAAUUAAUUUUGUAUCCCCAAGGAGAAAGCUAUCACACAUCUACAACAAGACAUGCAUCCGGCGACUGCUAAGUGGUAUGACAGGCGGGACUCCGUCUACAUCGAGUUCUGCGUAGCGGACAGCAAGGAUGUCAAGAUCAAUUUCGAGGAAGCAAAGUUUGUUUUCAGUUGUCUUGGAGGAACUGAUCAAGUCAAACAUGAGAACGAAGUAGACCUUUUCGAAGGCAUUGAUCAAAAUGAAUCCAUACACAAACGCACAGAUCGGUCAGUGUUGUGCUGUUUAAGAAAAGCUGAACCUGGGAAAGCGUGGCCUAGGCUAACGAAAGAGAAGGCUAAGUUAACUUGGCUCAGCGUCGACUUUAACAACUGGAAGGACUGGGAGGGCGACUCAGACGAGGAACUAGGCAACUUCGAUAAUUUCCCAGAGGGGGGAGAUGGGGAUAUGGCAUUCAACACACAAGAAGCGAUGGCUAAAGUAAGGGCCCUAGGGCAAACUGAACUUGCACUUGAAUGCUGUAUGAAAGGUUGGGCAAAGAUUGUACAAGUAAUAUAUGCCAACAUGAUGAUAUUUGUUUCCGGCUGUUCUGUGUGAUUCUGAUUGCAGAUGAUGAACAACAUGGGAGGGGAAGACUGCCUACCUGAUCUAGAUGAUGUUGAUGAUGACGAGUCUGCAGAUAGUGACGAUGAAAAAAUGCCUGAUUUGGAAUAAAAGGCCUCAAAAUCCAGGAAGUCGGGAUGGAAGGCAGGAGGAAUCAUCAAGACUAUCUUGAAAUAUAAGGCAGUGGGUAAAAACACUGUACAUGAGUCAGUAGCCAUAUUUAAAUCCAGAGCUCUUUUCCAAUCAGUCCACUGAAGGUUAAUGUCUAUAGUGUUGUACGGAGCAGCAGUCUCCACUUCCAUUUGCAGUGCUGCACUCUUGGCAUAUCCUGUUUUACUAUUAAUUGUUACAAGUAAGCAUUCAUGAUUUGUUCUGAAGUACUGUAUAGUAAUCAUCCUCAACCUAGAAAACAAUACAUGUGAAGGCAUUUAUGAGCAGUUGACUAAUGUUAUGAAGUGUAAUUAAACGGACAAAUGUUUUACACCCCCCGCCUCAUGGAUCUGUGUUUGAAGUUAGUUGAUCAGGUUACAAUUUCUGUUUGGUUCCCUCUUGUGAGCUGCCUCCUGUGGCAUAUAGAUAGUGAUCAGAGAAACAGUUAAAAGUUUCAGUACCUUAGCCUUUAAACUUACAUGUUUCCCCUUUCCUCCUCAUCUGUUAAAUCGUUAAAACAGUAUAUCAAUGUUCAUAAGAUUUGAAUGUUCUGAAAUUCUGUCUUAAUGUUCUCGGAUAUACAUUUUAUGGUACCAGUUAUUUUUUACUAAUUCCAUAUUGAUAUUAUCUAACAGCAGAUCACAUGAAGGCAAAAUCAAAGGAGGCUUGAAGCUCGGUUUGGCAAACAUCUGGUUGUUUUUUUUUACUUUCAAGAAUCUUUCCAUCUGUUUAGAGUUGUCAGAGUACAUUACAAUACUCCUGGGUCUUGUGUGGUGAUGGGGGUUAUGACAUGGUAAACCUGUGUAUUGACCAAAUUAAACUUGCACUGUCAAGAAAAUGA